AUUCAACAUACUCGUUAGUCUUAGCAGGAGACUAGGAGAGGGAGAUCGAGAGAGUUAAGUUAGUGAUCGGUAGAGUCGUAGAGAGAAGAUGAAAUCGAUUAGGUUUUGAAUCUUGAUUCUCAGAGAACUAACAAGAAUUGUUGAUUCUCCUUCCUCCCCAAAUAUUCUGAAACAAGUCAAAACUUCUGAAUGACAAUAAUUUAUUCAAGUGUUCUCUUUUAGUCUGGAGUUUCAAAUGAGGAAGAAUCAUUAGGAUUUGAUACACGGGGAGAACACCGAAAUUGGAGAAGUCGUGGACACUUUCAAGAUAUGCGCUGUGUGAACUCAUAUGAACAUCCGUAUCCAGAGAGAAUUUUAGUCGGCUAGCUUCUAUAGAGAAAUGCAUAUAGACAUGGCUCCAGAAGACGAUGGCGCCAACAAAAAGCUAUGGAAAGUGUAGUAUGCAGCUAUGGAAAGACUGAAGUUGAUGCAACAACCAAGCAAGAGCACUAGCAGUCUGCCAUUGCCCAUGGACUUUUUAUUUCUUUUGCUGCAUGUUCUGCAUUUGUUUGUGACUUUGUGGGUUGUCUUUGUACUUUCUUUUCAUGGGUGAGACUGAGAGACUGAAUUGAACACUGUUUUAGAACAUUUUGAAUGUGUAUGAAGACAGAAGAAGACAUUUUUAGAACUGAAUUGACGUAUUUAACUCUAA